rnacentral:rRNA from 1 species
GACGAACGCUGGCGGCGUGCUUAACACAUGCAAGUCGAACGGAAAGGCCCUGCUUUUGUGGGGUGCUCGAGUGGCGAACGGGUGAGUAACACGUGAGUAACCUGCCCUUGACUUUGGGAUAACUUCAGGAAACUGGGGCUAAUACCGGAUAGGAGCUCCUGCUGCAUGGUGGGGGUUGGAAAGUUUCGGCGGUUGUGGAUGGACUCGCGGCUUAUCAGCUUGUUGGUGGGGUAGUGGCUUACAAAGGCUUUGACGGGUAGCCGGCCUGAGAGGGUGACCGGCCACAUUGGGACUGCGGUACGGCCCAGACUCCUACGGGAGGCAGCAGUGGGGAAUCUUGCACAAUGGGCGGAAGCCUGAUGCAGCGACGCCGCGUGCGGGAUGACGGCCUUCGGGUUGUAAACAGCUUUCGCCUGUGACGAAGCGUGAGUGACGGUAAUGGGUAAAGAAGCACCGGCUAACUACGUG